rnacentral:tRNA from 2 species
GGGCCGUUAGCUCAGUUGGUAGAGCACUUCCAUGGCAUGGAAGGGGUCAGGAGUUCGAGUCUCCUACGGUCCACCA